GGCGAACGUGUUCUGCGGUGUGCCCCAGGGAUCGGUUCUAGAACCACUCCUGUGGAACAUCGCAUACGACCGCG